CGGAACGAUUUUUCUUUAAACAGCCCUAAAUCAGCUACAAAGUACGAGCUGGCUAUUUGGGAUUUUGCUCUCCCAAAAGAUGCCAGAACGCUUCUAAACACCAAUAGAAAGCGUCCAAAAUUAAAGAUCUGGGAAAUGGUUCAUUCUGGAACCGUGGCAUUAGGAAAAGUCUAAUUCAAAGUUUACGAUUUGCAACAGUAUCAGAAACACUAUCUUUAUUUUCAUUUUCAUCGACGGGCUUCCGUUGCACAAAAGCAGUAAAAUUCAAUUUUGGCCGAUCAUGAUCAACAUAAAGGAAAUGCCUCAGAUUGCCCCAAUCACAGCAGCUGUUUUUUGUGGACGUACCAAACCAAAAGAUGUGAGAAGGUUUAUGAAACCACUGGUGCAUGAGCUGAAUAUGUUAAUGGACGUUGGUAUGGUGCUGAAUAAUCGUCGAGUCACAAUUAAAGUACGGGCAAUAAUAGCGGAUUCUCCUGCCAGAGCUUUUUUAAAAGGUGUUGCAUAUUUCAAUGCAAAGGAGGGAUGUGCAAAGGGCACCUGCGAGGGAGAAUUCAAUGACGAAGGCAGAUGUACCAUUUUUAAGGAUACAAAUGCACCACUGAGAACGGAUCGUAACUUUCGUCGUAAGGCGUACGGAAAACAUCACAGGGAAGUAUCGCCUCUUCUAGGCUUGCAGAAUUUCGAUAUUAUUGAGGAUGUCAUAGUUGGUGACAAUCUUCAUUUAAUCGAUUUGGAGAUAAUGCGUAGAUUACUAUUAGGUUGGAGGGAUGGAAAACUAGGUUUUAGAACUAAAUGGUUUGCUAAACAGAUUGAAGAAAAAUCUAAAAAAAAAAUAUAAAAGUUAAACUGCCCAAAGAAAUUUAUCGAAAACUUGGUCCACUAGAAGACCUCAAAUUUUGGAAAGGUACCCAA